ACAGAUAAUUCACUGCCACACUGAACAAGCCUGUCAGAAUGAUCCAUGUGUGAGCUUCACUCUUCAUCGUGCCCUUUCUGUGAGAGGAAGAGACAUGAAAAAGAUAUUGGGUAGAAGGUCUUAAGUCUUAUGCGCUUGAGAGGAACAAGGACAUUUGAUGCAGUGUGGAAGAUGUUUAAGAAGAUGCACCCUUCUUACUGCAGAAUGUGCACACAGGGGAAGACAUUGACUCCUAUUGAUCUACCAAAG